UGGGACAUAGAUUCAUCAUUGUAUGCCUUAUGGAUACAUAAGUUGUGGAAUCAUGAACAAGAAACAAUAUUACCCAACACCAGUCUAGCAUCAGUUCUGGCAUUAUCUGACUUGUAAUGUAGCAUCAAGUUUAACUGCCAACUGACCAACAAAGAUUCAAAAUUGAUCUCCCAAUGCUUGCAGCACAAAGACCUUGUAAAACUGAAAAAUCACCUGGAAAAAGUUAUGCUAUAUUUUGUAUAAACAUCAAAAUUGUCCCCUCAAUGAAUAGACUUUAAAGUUGAAAAUAAAAUUUGUUUUAACCAUACUUUUCAAUUAGUGAUUGUGAAAAAAUAUGAUAUAUAUGGGACAGUUACAUAUGUAUACAAGUGAAAAAAAUAUGAUUAUCAGCUCCUAGUCAUCCUUUCUAAGCCCAGAACUUCCAAAAUAGACUUAAUAAAAUAAUCCAACCGUCAUUUUUAUUAAACUUAAAGAAGGAAGCAAAUGGUGCAAAGCCACAUUAGUGUUCUGGUAAAAGUAUGCCAAAAAAAGUAAGUAAUAUCAGAAGGCUGAGUAACAAUAAAGUAGUCACCAACAAUAUUAGAAAGGGUAGACAAGUUUUUCAUAGCAUAGUAAAAAAUAUUCUGGAAUCUUAAGAAAAUAAAUGACCCAGCACUUGAAAUUCAUAAAGAACAAGAAAACUUGGGUGGGGGCACAUUAGUUUACUUAGAACAUGGGUAAACCUACUAGUUCCUCAGUUAGAAAGACUUUCACAUAUAUUUCACAUAUUGGCUCAUCCGGAGUUGAGAUAGGUCCUGAGAAGACGAAGUUUUCCCGGAAUAGUAAACCCCAAAGUUGCUGACAGAGGUAAGCAGUUGCGCUAAACAACAAAUCUGUAGUUCUAACUUCUAAUGAGGAUGAAGACCUUGACAUCUCAAGAUAUAUGUAUAGCCGUGAUACUUAGCAUCGACUUCUGAGAAUUGGCAAGCACGACAGAGCAAUCAAAUUUGGCCCCAGCAGAAAACAUUCAAGAACAAAAUCUGCCACAGGAAAUAGCUUAACUCCCCCUUCUGAGCAGCCCUACUAAAGUAAUGUUAUGUAGAAACAGCAUGCACAUACUGACAUACAAAGAAGAGCUUACAACAACUAAUUCUGAAAAUUAUACUACAAUUUAUAAUCCAAAUCCAGGUUCCAAAAGAUCAAUUUUCCCCAGAUAAAUCUUGAUUAGCUCAGGAAGAUCAUUCUUAUACUUACUGACAAACCUAUCCAAGAAUCGCUUCUCAGGCUGCACUACAAAAGAAACUGGUUUCAAAGUUUUCUUUACCAAACCCUUGGACAUCAGGACUUUAAUCACACGGCAUCUUGGGAUAAUCCUCUUCUCCAAAUUAUAAAAGAGAACUGAAGGAGUUCUGGCAAUGACUGCAGCCUCCCAACCCAUUUUAUUAACAAGGACAUCCAUUGUCCUUGCUAUAUUCUCAUCGGUAAUAUACAUAAAAAAGGGAUGCUUCCUAAAUCCAAGUAAAAUCUCCUCAUCAGACAAACCCCAACUCCUAUAAAUCUACAUUCUGCAAUCCCAAGUAUCUUUACUUAAUCCACAUUUCACAUGCACUGCGAGGACAAAUAUAACUUGCAAAGGGUCAAACCCCAUUUUGAUAACAUCCUCGACAGAUCUCUUAAGCUUAACAUGACUUUGAUAUGCUACACAGGGGAAAUUCAUAAGCAUGAACAAAAUACGAGAUUGAGGCAACCCAACUCCUCUUAAAAAUUCCACAUUCAAAUCAACAGUCCCCGUAGACUUAGCAACACCUUUUUCAUUAUCACAAAGUAAACUUUUGAGGAUAUUAUAAACCGGGACUGUCUUUUUUUCUAGGAUUCUCGACAACAGAAUCGGAGUAUAUGAAAUUACUGCUGGAAUGUCAGUACCAGAGAUGCCUAUAGAGCUUAAAAAUUCAAUUUUGGGUAAAAGGGGUUUCUGGGUAUUAGCUGAUAGAACUUGAGGACUUGCUUUGACAAUUUUGGAGAUUUGAGUAUCAGUAAAUCCAUGAUUUCUUAGAAAUGUCAUAAUCCUCCCUGAUUUUUCUUGUUUUUUUCGCAGAUGAGGAAAAAUAGCAGGAAAAAAGACCGAUUGUAUGCGAUUCAUUUUGCAAUUGGAAAUUGUAUGAACUACCCACAAGUCUUCUUCUACAAAUAAAGAUUAACAUGAUUUAUGCAAAUGGGGAAGUUUAUAACGCAAUGUAUUUACUCACCGGUUCAGAUUUCUCAGUUGGGUGUGUUAUUCCCGUCGUUAGCUAAACGAAGCUCUCCUUCCUUCUAAAUUCUCACUAUCGCUCUCGCUCAGGCCCAAAGCCCUAGCCCUAAUGUCAUAGUAAAAUUAAU
rnacentral:lncRNA from 1 species